CAGAAACGCACACACAUACAUUAGACACUCCGGGGCUUCUACACACUGCUGGGACACUUGCCAGCCCAAAUCUGGGUCUCAUCUGGCUGGGGUUAUAGGCAGGGCGUUCGGGGAGCCGGGAUGGGGAUAGGAGCGGUUGUAGAGCCAUCUAAAGAGGAUAACCAGGAAGAUAACAGCAGCUGGGACCAUGACAUAUGCCAGACAUGCCUCCUGGGUGCCAGCGAGAUGAAGCUUAACCCAUCCCUGCCCUGCACGUCGCCAAGAUAAGCUUGUCACCGGGAAGGCUAUCGGGAGGGUGAGCGUGGGGACUGAUGAAAAGAGGGAAAGUGAGUUUGCUGAAUGGAAGAGCUGAUGGAAGAAGGCUUCCAGUCUGUGCACACGAGCCUGUUCCCUCCUGUCAGAUGACUUUACCCUGUGUCAAGCUGACACGGAACCACCUAGCACACUGCGGGCAGGGACCCAUAAUGAGGAACAAGGAUGAAUGCGAACACAUGUACCAUUGAGAAGCAGGCAGGAGCCAGAUUUCUGCUUCAACCUUGCAUUGCACUGUCCUCUGACAUAGGAUUUAAGUACAGCAUGGAUAACCAGGGCAUCUGAUGCUACAAGUCACUGGAGAAGCUCUUCAUGGAGCAGCAUCUUGAUGAAGAUGGUUCUCAUGAGUCAAGCCAGGUGCUUUGGUGGUUUCUGUGAAAAGCUGGCUUUGGCAACCUCUGGGCAAUCACACGGGCCUCUAUCAGAUGGUGUGAAAAGUCUUCUUCAUAUGACUACAGAAGAGCAAAGACAAGAACCUGAGCCAUCUGCUUUCACAAAGCUCUGCCACUGAGAACCCAACCAUCCAUCCACACAGCCCUUUGUCUUAAUUAGUAUAACAUUUCCAUUCCAGGAGACUCUCCUGGAAGAAAAGACAUCAUCUUGCUUUUCUCGUUGAGAACGUAUCUAAUAACCCAGCCAUGUUAGACAGCAUCAGCUUAGAGUUUGCCUGAGACACUUUGAACUUAACAUCUCAAAAUUCCUACCUGGCUAUUUUCACAGAUCCUUGACCGUUGGUCUCAGUCCUCUAGAGUUGGUCAAGGAUGCACACAGAGGGACCCAUCUUACAGGAGGCUUCCAGUUCAAGAAAUGUGACUUUGACAGAACUUCCUGACAGUUCUUGACCUCUCCUUAUUACCUACCCUUACCUUGUGCUAUGGCUAAAGUACAUUUGACUCUCCUUCCAACUCACAGAGCAGUUUAAGUCCCAAAGUUUUAUGUUAAUGGAAAGGGGGGAACUUAAUUCCGCUGUGGUGUUCAGAGGUGGGGCCUCUAAGAAGUGACUAUAAGGACACAGAGGUAGAACUAUUAUGACUGGAUCUUGGAGGCUUUCUGAGGAAAAGGGAGGAACACACUUUCUAACAUGGUGUGGUGCAGCUAAUGUGGCCUCCUUACCAGAGGGGCACCCAUGAGUGUUUGAUUCUUUCACUUCCAGAACUGUGCACAAAAAUAAUCCUCUGAUAUUUUAUUAUAGUAAUAACAAGCUGAACAAAACACUUAACAUUUAUUUAAGCAGUAAAUUCAGUUUUGUUUUAUUUACAGAUUGUGAUGAAAUAUGUGAAGUUUAUGCUAUGGUGUCUUGGGAUCGUUAUCAAUGAGAUUUGGUUAAGAUGAAGAUUUCUAAGUGACCUAGAAACCACUUCCUUGCAGCCACUGGAGGGCUUUACAACUUACUGUGGACACUCAUAAAGUGUUGGGCACUAACUUUUUGGCACUGAACUCCUUAAAUGCAAUGUUUUUCUUCCUUAAGAAACUGAUUGAUGCCAGGUGGUGGUGGCACAUUCCUUUAAUCCCAGCACUUGUGAGUUCAAGGCACCUUGGUCUACAAAGCUAGCUCCAGAACAACCAGGGGUACACAGAAAACCCCUGUUUUGAACCCCCCCAAAAGAAAAGGAACUGAUUGCUUAUAGAAUCGAUUUUAAAAACCUGCUUUAUCUAGGUAUGGUAGUCCUUUAAUCCUGGUACCUAGGAAGCAGAGGCAAGUGAUUUUCUGUGAGUUUGUGGCUGGUGUCAACAUAGUGAGUGAGUUCUAUUACAGCCAGGGUUAUAUAUAGAGAGUCCGCCUCAAAACAACAACAACAAAAAUAUUUUAUGUGUGCAAGUGCUCUGUUUGCAUGUUUGUAUGUACACUGUGUGUGCAGUGCCCUUGGAGGUCAGAAGAACCUAUAAUGUCAGUCUUGGGAAGUAAACAAGAGCAGCAAGUAUUCUUUACCAUUGAGCUAUUCCAUCAUCUCCUAGAAAUAGAUUACAUUUUUAAAAA